rnacentral:lncRNA from 1 species
GUAAAAUAAAAGCUCCAUCCAUACUGUAAAACACAAACACAAAAUACUCAGAAAUAAACUUUACAAAAAAGUGUGUAGCAUUACAUGAAGAAAACUCUUCUGAGUUUGAAUAAAUAUGGUAUAUACCUAGUUCUUGAGUAGAAAGAUUUAAUGCUUUAAGGAUGUCAAUUCUCCUAAACAAAUGUGUGAAAUUAAGAUAAUCCAAUCAAGAUCCCAACAGGAUUAGAAUUUUUUUUG